GGGUUGUGAGGUUAAGCGAAUAAGCGUACACGGUGGAUGCCUAGGCAAUCAGAGGCGAUGAAGGACGUGCUAAUCUGCGAAAAGCGUCGGUAAGGUGAUAUGAACCGUUAUACCCGACGAUAUCCGAAUGGGGAAACCCAGUAUCCAAUGGAUACUAUCAUUAACUGAAUCCAUAGGUUAAUGAGGCGAACCGGGAGAACUGAAACAUCUCAGUACCCCGAGGAAAAGAAAUCAACCGAGAUUCCCCUAGUAGCGGCGAGCGAACGGGGAGCAGCCCAGAGUCUUAAUCAAUAGCAGUGUCAGGAGAACGGUCUGGAAAGUCCGGCAGUAAAGGGUGAUAGCCCCGUAUCUGAAGAUGCUGUUAUUGUGAACUCGACGAGUAGGGCGGGACACGUGUUAUCCUGUCUGAAUAUGGGGGGACCAUCCUCCAAGGCUAAAUACUCCUGAUUGACCGAUAGUGAACCAGUACCGUGAGGGAAAGGCGAAAAGAACCCCGGCGAGGGGAGUGAAAAAGAACCUGAAACCGUGUACGUACAAGCAGUAGGAGCCNNNNNNNNNNNNNNNNNNNNNNNNNNNNNNNNNAUGGGGUGACUGCGUACCUUUUGUAUAAUGGGUCAGCGACUUAUAUUCUGUAGCGAGGUUAACCGUAUAGGGGAGCCGUAGGGAAACCGAGUCUUAACUGGGCGAAUGAGUUGCAGGGUAUAGACCCGAAACCCGGUGAUCUAUCCAUGGGCAGGUUGAAGGUUGGGUAACACUAACUGGAGGACCGAACCGACUAAUGUUGAAAAAUUAGCGGAUGACUUGUGGAUGGGGGUGAAAGGCCAAUCAAACCGGGAGAUAGCUGGUUCUCCCCGAAAGCUAUUUAGGUAGCGCCUCGUGAACUCAUCUUCGGGGGUAGAGCACUGUUUCGACUAGGGGGUCAUCCCGACUUACCAACUCGAUGCAAACUGCGAAUACCGAAGAAUGUUAUCACGGGAGACACACGGCGGGUGCUAACGUCCGUCGUGAAGAGGGAAACAACCCAGACCGCCAGCUAAGGUCCCAAAGUCAUGGUUAAGUGGGAAACGAAGUGGGAAGGCUCAGACAGCCAGGAUGUUGGCUUAGAAGCAGCCAUCAUUUAAAGAAAGCGUAAUAGCUCACUGGUCGAGUCGGCCCGCGCGGAAGAUGUAACGGGGCUAAACCAUGCACCGAAGCUGCGGCAGCGACACAAAGUGUUGUUGGGUAGGGGAGCGUUCUGUAAGCCUGCGAAGGUGUACUGUGAGGUAUGCUGGAGGUAUCAGAAGUGCGAAUGCUGACAUAAGUAACGAUAAUGCGGGUGAAAAACCCGCACGCCGGAAGACCAAGGGUUCCUGUCCAACGUUAAUCGGGGCAGGGUGAGUCGACCCCUAAGGCGAGGCUGAAAAGCGUAGUCGAUGGGAAACGGGUUAAUAUUCCCGUACUGGUGGUAACUGCGAUGGGGGAACGGAGAAGGCUAGGUUGUCCGGGCGACGGUCGUCCCGGUUCAAGCAGGUAGGCAGAGUGAUUAGGCAAAUCCGGUCACUUAAUGCUGAGAUGUGAUGACGAACCACCAAGGUGGUGAAGCAAUUGAUGCCCCGCUUCCAGGAAAAGCCUCUAAGCUUCAGGUUACCAACAAUCGUACCCCAAACCGACACAGGUGGUCAGGUAGAGAAUACUCAGGCGCUUGAGAGAACUCGGGUGAAGGAACUAGGCAAAAUGGUGCCGUAACUUCGGGAGAAGGCACGCUGGCGGUAGGUAAAGUCCCUCGCGGACGGCGCUGAAGCCAGUCGAAGAUACCAGCUGGCUGCAACUGUUUAUUAAAAACACAGCACUGUGCAAACACGAAAGUGGACGUAUACGGUGUGACGCCUGCCCGGUGCUGGAAGGUUAAUUGAUGGGGUCAGCCGCAAGGCGAAGCUCCUGAUCGAAGCCCCAGUAAACGGCGGCCGUAACUAUAACGGUCCUAAGGUAGCGAAAUUCCUUGUCGGGUAAGUUCCGACCUGCACGAAUGGCGUAAUGAUGGCCAGGCUGUCUCCACCCGAGACUCAGUGAAAUUGAACUCGCUGUGAAGAUGCAGUGUACCCGCGGCAAGACGGAAAGACCCCGUGAACCUUUACUAUAGCUUGACACUGAACAUUGAGCCUUGAUGUGUAGGAUAGGUGGGAGGCUUUGAAGUGUGGACGCCAGUCUGCAUGGAGCCAACCUUGAAAUACCACCCUUUAACGUUUGAUGUUCUAACCUAGGCCCAUAAACUGGGUCGGGGACCGUGUCUGGUGGGUAGUUUGACUGGGGCGGUCUCCUCCUAAAGAGUAACGGAGGAGCACGAAGGUUGGCUAAGCAUGGUCGGACAUCAUGCGGUUAGUGCAAAGGCAUAAGCCAGCUUGACUGCGAGAGUGACGGCUCGAGCAGGUACGAAAGUAGGUCUUAGUGAUCCGGUGGUUCUGAAUGGAAGGGCCAUCGCUCAACGGAUAAAAGGUACUCCGGGGAUAACAGGCUGAUACCGCCCAAGAGUUCAUAUCGACGGCGGUGUUUGGCACCUCGAUGUCGGCUCAUCACAUCCUGGGGCUGAAGUAGGUCCCAAGGGUAUGGCUGUUCGCCAUUUAAAGUGGUACGCGAGCUGGGUUUAGAACGUCGUGAGACAGUUCGGUCCCUAUCUGCCGUGGGCGUUGGAAGAUUGAGAGGGGUUGCUCCUAGUACGAGAGGACCGGAGUGAACGCACCACUGGUGUUCGGGUUGUCAUGCCAAUGGCAUUGCCCGGUAGCUAAGUGCGGAAGAGAUAACCGCUGAAAGCAUCUAAGCGGGAAACUUGCCUCGAGAUGAGUCUUCCCUGUCGCUUUAAGCGACCUAAAGGAACGUUUAAGACUAAGACGUUGAUAGGCUGGGUGUGUAAGCGUAGCGAUACGUUGAGCUAACCAGUACUAAUGAACCGUGAGGCUUAACCUGACAACACCGAAAGUGUUUUG
rnacentral:rRNA from 1 species